GCCACUGAAUUGCUUAUUGCACCACAUGUGUUUUUCUUUGAAACAAACUUGCUUUGGCGGUGGGCCCAGCCUGCCGCCAGAGGUCUAAACUUACAACCAAUUUUUUAUCAACUUGUCACACCAGAUUAUUACUAAUAGUCAAAACUUUCAACAACGGAUCUCUUGGUUCUCGCAUCGAUGAAGAACGCAGCGAAAUGCGAUACGUAAUAUGAAUUGCAGAUAUUCGUGAAUCAUCGAAUCUUUGAACGCACAUUGCGCCCUCUGGUAUUCCGGAGGGCAUGCCUGUUUGAGCGUCGUUUCUCCCUCAAACCGCUGGGUUUGGUGUUGAGCAAUACGACUUGGGUUUGCUUGAAAGACGGUAGUGGUAAGGCGGGAUCGCUUUGACAAUGGCUUAGGUCUAACCAAAAACAUUGCUUGCGGCGGUAACGUCCACCACGUAUAUCUUCAAACUUUGACCUCAAAUCAGGUAGGACUACCCGCUGAACUUAAGCAUAUCAAAAGCGGAGGAA
rnacentral:rRNA from 1 species